CGGCCACAUUGGGACUGAGACACGGCCCAGACUCCUACGGGAGGCAGCAGUGGGGAAUAUUGCACAAUGGGGGAAACCCUGAUGCAGCGACGCCGCGUGGAGGAAGAAGGUCUUCGGAUUGUAAACUCCUGUUGUUGAGGAAGAUUAAUGACGGUACUUUAGGAGGAAGCUCCGGCUAACUACGUGCCAGCAGCCGCGGUAAUACGUAGGGAGCAAGCGUUGUCCGGAAUUAUUGGGUGUAAAGGGAGCGUAGACGGGACGGUAAGUCAGAUGUGAAAGCCGGAAGCUCAACUUACAAACUGCAUUUGAAACUGGAGUUCUUGAGUGAAGUAGAGGUAAGCGGAAUUCCUGGUGUAGCGGUGAAAUGCGUAGAUAUCAGGAGGAACACCGGUGGCGAAGGCGACUUCCUGGGCUUUAACUGACGUUGAGGCUCGAAAGUGUGGGUAGCAAACAGGAUUAGAUACCCUGGUAGUCCACGCUGUAAACGAUGAUUACUAGGUGUAGGGGGUAUGACCCCUUCCGUGCCGCAGCUAACACAAUAAGUAAUCCACCUGGGGAGUACGACUGCAAGGU
rnacentral:rRNA from 1 species